rnacentral:sRNA from 2 species
GAUGUUGGGUUAAGUCCCGCAACGAGCGCAACCCUCGUCGUUAGUUGCUAACAGUUCGGCUGAGAACUCUAACGAGACUGCCUACGCAAGUAGGAGGAAGGUGAGGACGACGUCAAGUCAUCAUGGCCCUUACGACCAGGGCUACACACGUGCUACAAUGGGGUAUACAAAGAGCAGCAAUACGGUGACGUGGAGCAAAUCUCAAAAAUACCUCCCAGUUCGGAUUGUAGUCUGCAACUCGACUACAUGAAGUUGGAAUCGCUAGUAAUCGUAGAUCAGCUACGCUACGGUGAAUACGUUCCCGGGUCUUGUACUCACCGCCCGUCACACCAUGGGAGUUGAUUUCACUCGAAGCAGGGAUGCUAAGAUAGCUACCUUCCACAGUGGAAUCAGCGACUGGGGUGAAGUCGUAACAAGGUAACCGUAGGAGAACCUGCGGUUGGAUCACCUCCUUUCAGAGAAAAAACAGAUUAAGAUUCAAUUCUUAAUCUGAAAGUCAAUAUAUUCAGUUUAUAAAGAUUAUUUAAAGAUAGGUGAAAGGGGCCUAUAGCUCAGCUGGCUAGAGCGCUCGACUGAUAAUCGUGAGGUCACAGGUUCAAGUCCUGUUAGGCCCACCAUAAGAAAGAUAAUCUUUAUGGGGAAUUAGCUCAGCUGGGAGAGCGCCUGCCUUGCACGCAGGAGGUCAGCGGUUCGAUCCCGCUAUUCUCCACCAACUUAUAAAUAAAAAAGAAGAAAAUAAGGUGAGAAAAGAAACUUAAUAUAAGAACUAAAAGAGAUUAGUUUUUAUAUUAGGUUUAAAAAACCUAAAAGUUAUUUAAAAACACAAUGUUAAAGUCUUUAAAUUUUUCGAAAGAGUUUUAUUGAAACGAAAGUUUUAAUAAAAAAUAAAAUUUCAAAAAAGAAAACACAACUAUCUUAUGUUUAAUAAGAUAGUAGCCAAGGAAUAAUUAUCAAAGGUAGAUUAAAUAGGAAUAUUUAAUUUAUACAAAGAAAGCUAUUAAGGGCUAAUGGUGGAUGCCUAGACUGUAAGAGGCGAUGAAGGACGUACUAGACUGCGAUAAGCUUCGGGGAGCCGUCAAGAGGCAUUGAUCCGAAGAUUUCCGAAUGGGACAACCCAGCAUAAUGAAGAUUAUGUUACCCUACGGGGGGCUAACCUGGUGAAGUGAAACAUCUCAGUAGCCAGAGGAAGAGAAAUCAAACGAGAUUCCGUAAGUAGCGGCGAGCGAACGCGGAAGAGGGCAAACCCUAUGCUUGCAUAGGGGGUUGAAGGACCAUAAUAAGAGACUAAAGAUGAUAGUAGAAAUAGUUGGAAAGCUAUAGCAUAGAAGGUGAUACUCCUGUAUACGAAAUUAUCAAUAGCUCAAAUGGUAUCCUGAGUAGGUCGGAACACGUGGUAUUUUGACUGAAGCCGGGGGGACCACCCUCCAACCCUAAAUACUACUUACAGAUCGAUAGUGAACAAGUACCGUGAGGGAAAGGUGAAAAGUACUCCAGCGAGGAGAGUGAAAUAGAACCUGAAACCAUUAGCUUACAAUCAUUCGGAGCCCUAUGUUUUAACAGGGUGACGGACUGCCUUUUGCAUAAUGAGCCUGCGAGUUGUGGUAUCUGGCAAGGUUAAGUCAAGUACGAAGCCGUAGCGAAAGCGAGUCUUAAUAGGGCGACUAAGUCAGAUGCUGCAGACCCGAAACGAAGUGAUCUAUCCAUGGGCAGGUUGAAGCUGGUGUAAGAGCCAGUGGAGGACCGAACCGAUAGGCGUUGAAAAGCCUCCGGAUGACCUGUGGAUAGGGGUGAAAGGCCAAUCAAACUUCGUGAUAGCUGGUUCUCUCCGAAAUAUAUUUAGGUAUAGCCUCUAGAAGUAGCAUGUAGGGGUAGAGCACUGAAUGGGCUAGGGCUGCUCACCGCGGUACCAAACCCUAUCAAACUUCGAAUACUACAUGUGGAAUCUAGGGAGUCAGGCGUAGGGUGAUAAAAUCAUAUGUCGAGAGGGGAACAACCCAGACUAACAGCUAAGGUCCCAAAGUUACAUCUAAGUGGAAAACGAUGUGGAGUUACUGUGACAACCAGGAGGUUGGCUUAGAAGCAGCCAUCCUUUAAAGAAAGCGUAACAGCUCACUGGUCUAGUGAUUCUGCGCGGAAAAUAUAACGGGGCUAAGAUGUACACCGAAGCUUUAGAUUCAUAUUAUAUAUGAGUGGUAGGAGAGCGUUCUAUUCAGCGUAGAAGAUGUACCGGUAAGGGGCGUUGGAGCGGAUAGAAGUGAGCAUGCAGGCAUGAGUAGCGAUAAUUGAGGUGAGAAUCCUCAACGCCGAAAACCCAAGGUUUCCUACGCGAUGCUCGUCAUCGUAGGGUUAGUCGGGACCUAAGUCGAGUCCGAAAGGGGUAGACGAUGGUAAAUUGGUUAAUAUUCCAAUACCAGCAUAUAAGCGCGAUGUGGGGACGCAUAGAGUUAAUCGAGGUCACUGAUGGAAGUGUGGCUCGAAGGAAGUAGGUUGAUACUUAGGC